UGGGGCGUAGCCAAGCGGUAAGGCAACGGGUUUUGAUCCCGUCAUGCCCAGGUUCGAAUCCUGGCGCCCCAGCCA
rnacentral:tRNA from 1 species